AAAUUACCACAAAUAUAGUGGCUUUAAACAGUACAAAUUUAUUUAUCUUACGAUGUUGGUAGUCAGAACCGGACUAAAAUCUAAGUGUCAGGCACAGCUGUGCACCUCUGGAGCCUCCAGGGGAGAAUCCCUGUCUGCCGUUUCCAGCCCCUGGAAGCGCCCACGUUCCAAGGCUUAGGGACUCUUCCGCAUCGCAACCAGCAGUGCUGCCCCUCCGACCCUGCUUCGCCGGCCACACGUCCCUCCAGCGGGCCCCCUGAGACCACCCAGGACCACCUCCCGGUCUCAGGCUCUCUGCAGCCUGCUGCCAGGUGAGGAAGCACACUCGCCUGGCCCGAGGGCGUGGGCAUCUCUGGGGUGGCGGCAGUGUCCCACCUACCACGGGAGAGCUGGUCAAAUGCCUUUCCUCUUGAGACACCUGAGAGGAUUCGCGGCCCAAACUGUAGGGGUAUUUUAAUUAUAAAUUGUCUUUUAUUAAGAAAUUUUGUAUCUCUUGUAUCAGUAAAUUAACUGUUUAAAUUAUUUUCUGUUGAUACUUCUGUAUUUUCUAAUUUAUCAAAGACACUUUAAUGGCCCAGGAUCUGUAGUGACACUCUUUUUUCAUUCCCCGCUCUUGCCUUUUAACUUUCAGCCUUUAAGAAAAAAGACCGGCUUACUGUACAGAGAGGAAGAGGUUGCUGACGUGGCCACUUGCACGUGCUUUACAAACGUCGGUGGCCACGCAGCCCCCUCACGCCGUGGGUCUGGGGACCUGCGCCAGCUGCCAGAUGCCCUCCUGCCUCGGAGGCCAGGCCGCCCCCCAGCAGGGCCGUCUUCUUCCCUAACGCUGCCUUUUGCCGAAAACGUAGCUACACGUCAGCUUUUGGCUCAGUGUACACGAUGUACCUUUUCCUAUCAGGACAGAAAGCUUUGGCUCACUCUUGUAAAGUGACGCAGCUGGUUUUUAAAAACUUCUAUCUAGAAAAAUUAGAGCAUGUGAUUACUGAUUUAUUUGGGUCUAAAUCUACCAUAUUACUAAAUGCUUUUUAGCUGUCGCACCUGUUUUAUUUCCUUUAUGUCCUUGCUUCCUUUUGGAUUAUCACUUAUGAGACCAGUUUUCCUUCUACUGGCUUGAAAGGCACGUGUGUUCCCACGCGUACGUGGUCCUUCCUGAGUCUCACGUUACCCGGCUGACAGGACUUUUAUCCUCUUCCCAGUUAAUGCAAGAACUUCCUCACUGCAUGCGUCCCACUCUCCCAACUUAACAUGUCCCUGCAGUCUUGAAUUUUUGUUCCCUCUAUAUUUCUAGCACGACAGGACAUUUUCAUGGUUUUACACAACGUAUUCCUUUGUGUGUCAGUAUUUUUGAAACAUGACCUAGUUAUCCUCCUGCACAUGCAGUAGGAGGACUCCUGGCCUGGACUUGAGUCCAAGUCCGCCUGCCCCUGGCCUGGCUUCUCCCCUGCAACACACCUCUCCCUCUGCUCCGUGAGCAUCUGGCCUGUGAGUCAGACUUCCGCCUGCUCGCUGCGCUAGGCUUAUGAACCCCUUGUCUGUUCCCUGCCUCCGUCUUCCCGGUCCUCUCUGUUCACUGAUCCUCUCCGCUCCCCGAGGGCACAGGCUUCGUCGGGAGCCUGCUGUCCCAAGUAUCUGGGUGGCCCUCGUCCCCUCCUGCUUCUGAAGCUGCUUCAGUCCUUCAAGGCCCAGUCACACCCACCCCCUUGGUUCCCUGCGCUCCACGGCCAGGGGCAGGAGCCCUUCUCAGGCCGCUCCACAGGGGCCUCAUCAGUUUGUGCUCCCAUUUCCUGGCCAAACGGGAAAAUGGGGCCUAAAAUGAGUUCAUCUUCAAAAUGGGGAUAGUACUCAUCCCGAUAGUGCUUGGAAGCUGAAAUCAUAGUCUGUAUGAAAGAGCUUAAAAAUUCAGAGUCGUCGGUACAAAGAUUAAUGGUUGGCGGUGAAAGGCAAUUCUUGUUUUACAUGCUUUAUGGAAAAAAAAUAAAACAUGUCUAGCUUUAUUUUGUUUCCAGGAAAUUUGACUUAAGCGUCAGUGGAUAAUACCUCACUCUGUGACCCUGGAGAAUUAAUAAGCUUCAUUAGGAGAAGCUGAGCGUUAUCCAGGCCGAUCUCACUGUAUUUGCAUAUCCUGUGCUGAUUGGCGCCAUUUUCCCAACAGCAUUUGCUCACUUCAUGUCUGUGUCAUGUUUUGGUAAUUCUCAGAGUAUUUCAAACUGCCUCAUCAUUAUAUUCGUUACGGUGAUCUGUGAUCGGUGAUCUUAAUGUUACUACCACGGCUUGCUGCUCGCUGAAGGCUUGGGACGGUUAGCCUUCUUUUAGCAAUUAUUAACUAAGGUAUGUGCACUGUUCUUUAGACAUAAGCUGUCGCACACCUGGCAGACUAAAGCACAGUAUAAACAUAACCUUUAUAUGCACUGGGAAGCCAACAUUCACGUGACUGACUUUAUUUUGAUACUCGCUUCAUUGGGUGGUCUGGACCUGAGCCCGCACUAUCUCCAAGGUCCGCCUGUACUGUAAUUGUUUAAAAACAUUUUUGUUCUUUGCAGUGCAACUCUUCUAAAAUACAAUCUUAUGUGGAAUCCCAGAUACAUGAAGUGAAUUCAGGAUUCACACUGUGGGCGUGCACGUGUGGCAAGUCUUCCUCACAGCAGAGUCACUAGCAGCCCAAGGUGACGGCCCUUCUGUUCAGCUCCGGGUCUGAGGGUUGAAGACGCCAAACCCCGCUGGUUGAAGAUUCGCGUGUGUCACAGCUCCGUAAGCACAGACGCACCGGUGCAGUCCUGUGGACUCGCAUAUGCGCCUGAAACUGACCUUUGCUGAGGCAUCUAUUUCAAAGACAUCCAUUCGAAUAAACCCACUGCAGCUGCGGACAUAGCUACUGGCUACCAUCAGGACCAGUAGGGACAACCCUUGCUCCUCGGAGUCCCCUGAGGCUUGUUGCUGAUGUGCAUCCUGGGACCCUAAGAACCACGAGGGCUGGCCCAGCCACGACAGUGGCCCUGGCGGAGGGGGACGUGGCACCACCCGCACAGCAGGUAACUCUCCACGUGGAGGGAGCCGUGGAGCCCUGUAGUAAGAACAAGACACAUUGUCGAUUUAGUCCACCCUCACACCUGCCUUCGAGGGAGAUGGUCUCCUGGUUCUGGUUUGAGAGGCAGGGAGACGGACGCUCGGAGGGUAGAAACCUGCCAGGAACAAGGGGCGAUUAGGUGGCAGAGCGAGUACUGCAGGCACCUCUGCCGCCACCAGACAAGCGCAGCCUGAGACAGAGCUGUGCACUCUUGCGUUUAUGUCCCUUGAAUAAGAUGGGUUUCCUGUAUCAGACUCAACUAUGAAAACAACCGGCUAAAUGGUCAGAACAUCCGAUCAGGUGAACAGACUCUCACAUCAGCUUCCUCCAGGCCCGUCACAGCCUGGGGACUGUGGUACUUGUCAGAAGCCAGCCCAUCUCUGCACUGACGCUGCACCCGCUGGCCCGCGUGCCUUCCACACCGACUUCCAUACAGAAAGCAGCAGUGGCCAGAUGUCCUUGCUUUCCCAGUCCUAGCUCACGAAAUGCUCAGCCAGGUAACGGAGCUGCAUCCCUCACACCAUCAGAGGUCACAGGAGAACCCUGGAGACUUUUUUAGUAUAAGACAGUAGUCUUUAACUAUCUUUUAAAGAAAUAAAAAAAAUCUGAAGUGAGUCAAUUUGUAGAUACUAUAUUUUACAGCUCCCUGAAUUUAUACAUAGCUCAUUGGCUCAGAAAUUCAAAAAUAGGUUUUCUGGAUACAGUUGAAAUAAAAAUGUAAUUUACUGUAGUAUGUGGUGAGACUUUAGACCUUGAUCUUCAUCAGUGAGCUGCUUCUCACUUAAUAUGUCAUACAGUAAAGUUAGUGUCAAAUAAAUUCUAUAGUUACGUGAAAAUGAAUACCCCUAUUCUGGCAUGCAAUUUAAUCACUAAAAAAGGACUAAAAUUUUAUGUUAAUGCUUUUUCUUUGCAUCUCAUC